CUGACGGGUGAGUAACACGUGGAUAACCUACCUAUAAGACUGGGAUAACUUCGGGAAACCGGAGCUAAUACCGGAUAAUAUAUUGAACCGCAUGGUUCAAUAGUGAAAGACGGUUUUGCUGUCACUUAUAGAUGGAUCCGCGCCGCAUUAGCUAGUUGGUAAGGUAACGGCUUACCAAGGCAACGAUGCGUAGCCGACCUGAGAGGGUGAUCGGCCACACUGGAACUGAGACACGGUCCAG
rnacentral:rRNA from 1 species